CGCACGGGUCCCCCGUUACGUCUCCGCGCAGGAGGCGGAGGCAGCGCAGCGGAGGGUUCGAGGCCCGCUUUCCCGCAGGGUGGAGGCCUCCCGGAAUGCUGGGAUUACAGGCACUCACCACCGCCCCGCAGGUGUUUCUGAGGCCACAGCCCCCAACUCAGAAGCACCCAGCAGGAAGGUUGCCACCAACCACUGCACAAGCAGAGAGCCCAGCAUGCACCCCUGCUGCACAGCCUGGCCCAGCGCAAGUGGCUCCCCAGUUCCCAGGGGAGUCUUGAUUCCCAGCUCCACUCCUCACCAUGGCCCCUGAAGCUGGCACGACCGCAAGUACGAACUGCUCCAGUGUCUCCUCUUGCUGUGGCAUCGCUGUUCCAGAUGCCCCGGGCUUGCCAUCUUCAGGCCUUUGUCCUGCUCUUCCUCUUCCCUUCCCUUCCCUUCCUCUGCUUAGACUGUCCUCCUCUGGCUUUAGCUCCUGCAGCCCUUCCUCCAGGAAGACCUCUCUGCCACAACCCUGUGUUGAGCUGUGUCCCUCUCCCCCUCUUGCCUCUGCCUUCCAGGUUCAUCACUGUCUGGGGACAGUUCUGUCUCCCUCAUUGCACUGUGAGUCACAUGAGGCCUGCGUUCUAGUUCUUCUGGUCACUGCUGUGUCCCCACAUAGUCGAGGGGACUCAGUAGGUGCUUAAUAAAUA